AGUCAAUCUGAGGAGAUCUACCUCAGAUGAAGGUGAAGAAGGCGCCAAGUAAGUCCUUUAAAGAGUUUUCACCGGAAGCAGCAUCUGAGAAUCAGGAAGCAGAGAUGUUGGCAGGACGUGGCUCUGACAGCAGAUACUUCAUGGCCUCGGCAAGCAGCAUGGACACAGUUUUC